rnacentral:rRNA from 1 species
AACGAACGCUGGCGGCAGGCCUAAUACAUGCAAGUCGAACGCACCGCAAGGUGAGUGGCAGACGGGUGAGUAACGCGUGGGAACCUUCCCUGUGGUACGGAAUAACUCCGGGAAACCGGUGCUAAUACCGUAUACGCCCUUUGGGGGAAAGAUUUAUCGCCAUAGGAUGGGCCCGCGUCGGAUUAGCUAGUUGGUGGGGUAAUGGCCUACCAAGGCUACGAUCCGUAGCUGGUCUGAGAGGAUGAUCAGCCACACUGGGACUGAGACACGGCCCAGACUCCUACGGGAGGCAGCAGUAGGGAAUAUUGGACAAUGGGCGAAAGCCUGAUCCAGCCAUGCCGCGUGAGUGAAGAAGGCCUUAGGGUUGUAAAGCUCUUUUGGCGGGGAAGAUAAUGACGGUACCCGCAGAAUAAGCUCCGGCUAACUUCGUGCCAGCCGCCGCCGUAACAC